rnacentral:rRNA from 1 species
UGUGGGUCUCUUUGAAAGCUUAGAAUCUGCUUGUCUUUUGGACGCUUUUAAGGGAGUUUGAUUUUUGCUUGUGCGACAGCCUUUAAGGCUAGUCUCCGUGCAAAAAUCUGCACAACCCUUAAAAUCGCCUCAAAAUACUUCGCAGUUUGGAAUCUAGCAAAAUGCGGAUAGCAGAAAAUUCUAAGAUUUUGAGAUGAUUUUGGUGGUUGCGUAGAAAUUUCUGCGGAGAUAAGCCUUAAGGCUAUCGCACAAAGAAAUUUCAAGCUCCGCCAAAAGCACUCAAAAGCUGAAUUUAGCAAAAGUUUUCAAAGAGGCUCACA